rnacentral:rRNA from 1 species
CACCGCGGUUAUACGAGAGGCCCAAGUUGACAAACACCGGCGUAAAGCGUGGUUAAGUUAAAACCCAUACUAAAGCCAAACGUCUUCAAGGCUGUUAUACGCAACCGAAGACAGGAAGUUCAACCACGAAGGUGGCUUUACCUACUCUGACCCCACGAAAGCUAAGGAA